rnacentral:rRNA from 1 species
CCUACGGGAGGCUGCAGUCGAGAAUCAUUCACAAUGGGGGAAACCCUGAUGGUGCGACGCCGCGUGGGGGAAUGAAGGUCUUCGGAUUGUAAACUCCUGUCAUGUGGGAGCAAAUUAAAAAGAUAGUACCACAAGAGGAAGAGACGGCUAACUCUGUGCCAGCAGCCGCGGUAAUACAGAGGUCUCAAGCGUUGUUCGGAAUCACUGGGCGUAAAGCGUGCGUAGGCUGUUUCGUAAGUCGUGUGUGAAAGGCGCGGGCUCAACCCGCGGACGGCACAUGAUACUGCGAGACUAGAGUAAGGGAGGGGGAGCCGGAAUUCUCGGUGUAGCAGUGAAAUGCGUAGAUAUCGGGAGGAAUACUCGUGGCGAAGGCGGGUUCCUGGACAUUAACUGACGCUGAGGCACGAAGGCCAGGGGAGCGAAAGGGAUUAGAUACCCCUGUAGUC